UGAACUUGGCUAAAUCUGUAUGGAAUGUCAGGUUGGGUCAGUAAAUCACCUCAGCAUUUAAGGGAGUAAGAUUCCUUAUGUGUGCAACAAUUAGAAGUGGAUAAUGUCAACCCAAAUGCUCUCAACGAUCGCCAACUGAGCCUCUGAAAUCAGAUCAGGGCCCACCUGAGUUUCUGUGCAAUAAACCGCGGUCCUCAGGAGAGAUCCGGAGCUGUGCUCUCGCUCCACGUGCUAUAAUGACUUCAACUAAGCAGGUCCUCAACAGAUGGUGACAUUCAACACCCCAAAGGUUGUCCCAAAGCUUUGGCCGGGAGUUUGAGAUAUUGUUUUUCUUGCACAGGGCCAACACCUGUCAGAGAUGGCAAACGGGGCCGGAGAAGUUUAUCAACGCGAAUCAGAACCGGCUCCAGCUCUCCAUCACGCAGACAAAUGCUGCCAGUUGGGUGAAAUGUGCCGCCAGAUGAGAGAAAAUCUGCCAGAUGGGCAUGUAGACUCCACCAUCUGGCCUCCGUCACUUCAGCCACCUCUGGGCCUUAAGGAAUAAGAACCGACCCUCACAGCUUCCUUACCUUGACACCGACGGUGCCUCUGCAGUUUAAAAAGUCUAUUUUUUGCUGCUCGUCAUGCAGGACCGCCACAGCACUCUUCACAAAGGGAGGAUUUUAUUUGCACUAAUUGAGGAUGUGGGUGGAGAAAGAGACAAGACAAUUAGGGGGCUGGAGAAUUUUUUUUCCCUCCUGGAUUAGUUCCACUGCAUCCAUAAGAUGACAUGUUUUUCAGCAGAUGCUUUGAUAUUUUGUGUGUUUUUGUGCAGGUAAUAAAAAAAAAGUGGAAUGACACUGAGCUAAAGAAAACAACUCUUCCACUUACACAAUAAAAAAAAAAAAACACAAACUCGUGACUUUCAAGCAUGAUGAAAUCUUUGCAACAUCGAUGGCCCCCACGGUUCCUGCAGCGUUGAACUGGGCAUGUGACACUUCUGAGCGCGGUGGAGCAGCGGUCCUUUGUGUUGGAUUCAUAUUUCAUGACAGCAUAACCAAGAGGAGCCAUAUGGUAAUCCAGGCUGGACCUGCCUUCAAAUUCUCCCCCCUUUGCUAGAGGUGGUAGAGUGACCUAAUGAAGCAGCAGACUGUGUGCUGCCUGGGGUCAGAAUAGGAAAGCAGUUCAGAUGGCGGCGGUCAGUGGCAGCAGCAGCAGCAGCAGCUAAGCCUUGUGACUCGAACCCCCCAGGACACACAGCGCACUGGCCAGCCAACCACACAGGACAAGGCCCGAUGUUCCCACUAGCAGCGCGUUGCCAACAGGGAUGGGGGUAAUCUAGCAGGCUUAGUCAUGGCUCUGUGGGGUAGGUGUGCAUGUGUACGUCCACAUUUGCGAGUGGGAGAGUUUGUGUGUGUCCCUGUUGUUUUUUUUCUUCUUUGUGUAGGCAAAACCAACUUACCACAGAUUAUGAACCACGCGCCCCAAACCUCAUGCUUAAUGUGUAACACAUGGCUAAUUCUAACCUACAACCUAAACACAAACUUUAAUCUGAAGUUCAAACCAAAAAAGAUUGGUGUAAUGAAGCUAAAAUUUUAGAUGCAGCCUCCUACGUUUCCAAUGAAGUAACCAACAGGGUAAUUUUGUUAGACCCCCACGUUGCUGGGUAAACGUCCACAUCUGCCCACACUCUGAAGAAAAUAACGAGUUGACUUCCUUGACUACUUGUUUUCUAUAGACUACUGGAUUUAAAGGUUGAUUAAAAAUCCA